rnacentral:rRNA from 1 species
CCUACGGGUGACAGCAGUGAGGAAUAUUGGUCAAUGGGCGCGAGCCUGAACCAGCCAAGUAGCGUGAAGGAUGACUGCCCUACGGGUUGUAAACCUCUUUUAUAAGGGAAUAAAGUGUGGGACGUGUCCUGUUUUGUAUGUACCUUAUGAAUAAGGAUCGGCUAACUCCGUGCCAGCAGCCGCGGUAAUACGGAGGAUCCGAGCGUUAUCCGGAUUUAUUGGGUUUAAAGGGUGCGUAGGCGGCCUUUUAAGUCAGCGGUGAAAGUCUGUGGCUCAACCAUAGAAUUGCCGUUGAAACUGGUAGGCUUGAGGAUGUUUGAGGCAGGCGGAAUGCGUGGUGUAGCGGUGAAAUGCUUAGAUAUCACGCAGAACCCCGAUUGCGAAGGCAGCCUGCCAAGCCAUGACUGACGCUGAUGCACGAAAGCGUGGGGAUCAAACAGGAUUAGAUACCCUUGUAGUC